ACUCGAGUCUGACUGUGACGAGACAUGAGAGGUGUAGCAUAAGUGGGAGGCCGUGAACCCUCGUGGUUGUGUCGUGCCGACAGUGAAAUACCACUACUUUCAUCGUUUCUUUACUUACUCGGUGAAGCGGAAAGCGGACCAUGAGUGUCCACGCUUCUAGCACUAAGUGCAAGGCCCUUCGUUGGCCCGCACGAUCUGUUCCGACGACAGUGUCAGGCGGGGAGU
rnacentral:rRNA from 1 species